AUGAACGCUGGCGGCGUGCCUAAUACAUGCAAGUCGAGCGAACGGACGAGAAGCUUGCUUCUCUGAUGUUAGCGGCGGACGGGUGAGUAACACGUGGAUAACCUACCUAUAAGACUGGGAUAACUUCGGGAAACCGGAGCUAAUACCGGAUAAUAUUUUGAACCGCAUGGUUCAAAAGUGAAAGACGGUCUUGCUGUCACUUAUAGAUGGAUCCGCGCUGCAUUAGCUAGUUGGUAGGGUAACGGCUUACCAAGGCAACGAUGCAUAGCCGACCUGAGAGGGAGAUCGGCCACACUGGAACUGAGACACGGUCCAGACUCCUACGGGAGGCAGCAGUAGGGAAUCUUCCGCAAUGGGCGAAAGCCUGACGGAGCAACGCCGCGUGAGUGAUGAAGGUCUUCGGAUCGUAAAACUCUGUUAUUAGGGAAGAACAUAUGUGUAAGUAACUGUGCACAUCUUGACGGUACCUAAUCAGAAAGCCACGGCUAACUACGUG
rnacentral:rRNA from 1 species